ACCUUUACUUAGCCUCACAACAUGGGCCUUAGCUUUAGCACUUAAUCUGCACAAAUACCUGGCUUAAGUGUUAUGACUGACUGGCUAUUCAACCAAACCAUACAAAUGACCAAUUCGGUAAGAAAGCAUGAACUUCAGUGUUGAACCAAAUCAACCAACCUCCUCAAUCCAAAUGGAGAGGAUAACAAAGGAAGCUGAGGAAGUCUGUUCUGGAGGCACCAUGACAAAGCACCAGACAGAAAGCAGUCACGUGUGGGGAGAUGAGCAGAGACACCACUUCUCAAGCACCUGAUUAUUCUUUCUCAGUAUUUAGAAGCAAAAAUUAUCCUUAAGAAAAACAACCGCAAACGCAACACAGGCUACACAGAUGAGAAAAUGGGCUCAUGAAACACUGCACUAAACAGUCACAGGACCAAGAUAUAGAUUCCUAUUUCCAGGUGAACAUAAAGAUUUUUCAGUCAAUAGCAUACACUGAACAUUGCUUCUAUAUAAAGAGCAGUGUUUCUCAAAGUGUGGUCCUUGGAACAGCAGCAUCAGUAGCAUCGGCUUGCAGAGCUCAAACCAUUACACCAUUCAGAAGCUGGCUUUGGUAUUACUUCAAGUUAUUCAAAACAGUCACCACUUGCUGAGCCUCUGAUGUCUCAUCUGUUGAAUGGGUACAUUUUCUUCCUGAUCCUUCCACCUCUAAACUUGUCUAUUUCCAAGGAUCUAUGGCAUCCAGGCAUAUGAUUUCAAGAGAGAAGGCUGAAAAGGAAGGUGACUGGAAUAUUAAGAACUGUGAGAUAUUCUGAGGAAACUCUAAUUUGUAAAUUGGUAGAAAUGCCAGUAAUUUGUUGGGAAUUGAAGACCCUCUGUAUUCAAGAGCGAAGCUUGGCAGCUGUGCACUGUUGUUUUAUAAAUCAAUAUUACA
rnacentral:lncRNA from 1 species